rnacentral:tRNA from 1 species
GCAGAUGUGGCGGAAUGGCAGACGCACCAUCUUGAGGGGGUGGCGAGAGUAAUCUCGUACGGGUUCAAGUCCCGUCAUCUGCACCA